rnacentral:snRNA from 1 species
GCAAAGCUUUCAAGCGUGAUGAU